ensembl:snRNA Gm26111 U6 spliceosomal RNA
GUGCUCAUUUCAGCCGCACAUACACUAAAGUUGGAACAAUACGGAGAAGGUUAGCAUGGCCCUUGUAUAAGUAUGACAUGCAAGUUCAAGGAGCUUCCAUAUUUUG